rnacentral:rRNA from 1 species
UACGUAGGGGGCAAGCGUUAUCCGGAUUUACUGGGUGUAAAGGGAGCGUAGACGGAAUUGCAAGUCUGAUGUGAAAUUCCGGGGCUCAACCCCGGACCUGCAUUUGAAACUGUUGGUCUUGAGUAUCGGAGAGGCAGGCGGAAUUCCUAGUGUAGCGGUGAAAUGCGUAGAUAUUAGGAGGAACACCAGUGGCGAAGGCGGCCUGCUGGACGACAACUGACGGUGAGGCGCGAAAGCGUGGGUAGCAAACAGG